GGGUUGUGAGGUUAAGCGACUAAGCGUACACGGUGGAUGCCCUGGCAGUCAGAGGCGAUGAAGGACGUGCUAAUCUGCGAUAAGCGUCGGUAAGGUGAUAUGAACCGUUAUAACCGGCGAUUUCCGAAUGGGGAAACCCAGUGUGUUUCGACACACUAUCAUUAACUGAAUCCAUAGGUUAAUGAGGCGAACCGGGGGAACUGAAACAUCUAAGUACCCCGAGGAAAAGAAAUCAACCGAGAUUCCCCCAGUAGCGGCGAGCGAACGGGGAGCAGCCCAGAGCCUGAAUCAGUGUGUGUGUUAGUGGAAGUGUCUGGAAAGGCGCGCGAUACAGGGUGACAGCCCCGUACACAAAAAUGCACAUGCUGUGAGCUCGAUGAGUAGGGCGGGACACGUGGUAUCCUGUCUGAAUAUGGGGGGACCAUCCUCCAAGGCUAAAUACUCCUGACUGACCGAUAGUGAACCAGUACCGUGAGGGAAAGGCGAAAAGAACCCCGGCGAGGGGAGUGAAAAAGAACCUGAAACCGUGUACGUACAAGCAGUGGGAGCCCUGAUUUAUCAGGGUGACUGCGUACCUUUUGUAUAAUGGGUCAGCGACUUAUAUUCUGUAGCAAGGUUAACCGAAUAGGGGAGCCGGAGGGAAACCGAGUCUUAACUGGGCGUUAAGUUGCAGGGUAUAGACCCGAAACCCGGUGAUCUAGCCAUGGGCAGGUUGAAGGUUGGGUAACACUAACUGGAGGACCGAACCGACUAAUGUUGAAAAAUUAGCGGAUGACUUGUGGCUGGGGGUGAAAGGCCAAUCAAACCGGGAGAUAGCUGGUUCUCCCCGAAAGCUAUUUAGGUAGCGCCUCGUGAAUUCAUCUCCGGGGGUAGAGCACUGUUUCGGCAAGGGGGUCAUCCCGACUUACCAACCCGAUGCAAACUGCGAAUACCGGAGAAUGUUAUCACGGGAGACACACGGCGGGUGCUAACGUCCGUCGUGAAGAGGGAAACAACCCAGACCGCCAGCUAAGGUCCCAAAGUCAUGGUUAAGUGGGAAACGAUGUGGGAAGGCCCAGACAGCCAGGAUGUUGGCUUAGAAGCAGCCAUCAUUUAAAGAAAGCGUAAUAGCUCACUGGUCGAGUCGGCCUGCGCGGAAGAUGUAACGGGGCUAAACCAUGCACCGAAGCUGCGGCAGCGACACUGUGUGUUGUUGGGUAGGGGAGCGUUCUGUAAGCCUGUGAAGGUGUGCUGUGAGGCAUGCUGGAGGUAUCAGAAGUGCGAAUGCUGACAUAAGUAACGAUAAAGCGGGUGAAAAGCCCGCUCGCCGGAAGACCAAGGGUUCCUGUCCAACGUUAAUCGGGGCAGGGUGAGUCGACCCCUAAGGCGAGGCCGAAAGGCGUAGUCGAUGGGAAACAGGUUAAUAUUCCUGUACUUGGUGUUACUGCGAAGGGGGGACGGAGAAGGCUAUGUUGGCCGGGCGACGGUUGUCCCGGUUUAAGCGUGUAGGCUGGUUUUCCAGGCAAAUCCGGAGAAUCAAGGCUGAGGCGUGAUGACGAGGCACUACGGUGCUGAAGCAACAAAUGCCCUGCUUCCAGGAAAAGCCUCUAAGCAUCAGGUAACAUCAAAUCGUACCCCAAACCGACACAGGUGGUCAGGUAGAGAAUACCAAGGCGCUUGAGAGAACUCGGGUGAAGGAACUAGGCAAAAUGGUGCCGUAACUUCGGGAGAAGGCACGCUGAUAUGUAGGUGAAGCGACUUGCUCGUGGAGCUGAAAUCAGUCGAAGAUACCAGCUGGCUGCAACUGUUUAUUAAAAACACAGCACUGUGCAAACACGAAAGUGGACGUAUACGGUGUGACGCCUGCCCGGUGCCGGAAGGUUAAUUGAUGGGGUCAGCGCAAGCGAAGCUCUUGAUCGAAGCCCCGGUAAACGGCGGCCGUAACUAUAACGGUCCUAAGGUAGCGAAAUUCCUUGUCGGGUAAGUUCCGACCUGCACGAAUGGCGUAAUGAUGGCCAGGCUGUCUCCACCCGAGACUCAGUGAAAUUGAACUCGCUGUGAAGAUGCAGUGUACCCGCGGCAAGACGGAAAGACCCCGUGAACCUUUACUAUAGCUUGACACUGAACACUGGUCCUUGAUGUGUAGGAUAGGUGGGAGGCUUUGAAGUGUGGACGCCAGUCUGCAUGGAGCCGUCCUUGAAAUACCACCCUUUAAUGGCUGGUGUUCUAACGUUGGCCCCUUACCGGGGUUGCGGACAGUGUCUGGUGGGUAGUUUGACUGGGGCGGUCUCCUCCUAAAGAGUAACGGAGGAGCACGAAGGUUGGCUAAUCCUGGUCGGACAUCAGGAGGUUAGUGCAAUGGCAUAAGCCAGCUUGACUGCGAGCGUGACGGCGCGAGCAGGUGCGAAAGCAGGUCAUAGUGAUCCGGUGGUUCUGAAUGGAAGGGCCAUCGCUCAACGGAUAAAAGGUACUCCGGGGAUAACAGGCUGAUACCGCCCAAGAGUUCAUAUCGACGGCGGUGUUUGGCACCUCGAUGUCGGCUCAUCACAUCCUGGGGCUGAAGUAGGUCCCAAGGGUAUGGCUGUUCGCCAUUUAAAGUGGUACGCGAGCUGGGUUUAGAACGUCGUGAGACAGUUCGGUCCCUAUCUGCCGUGGGCGCUGGAGAACUGAGGGGGGCUGCUCCUAGUACGAGAGGACCGGAGUGGACGCAUCACUGGUGUUCGGGUUGUCAUGCCAAUGGCACUGCCCGGUAGCUAAAUGCGGAAGAGAUAAGUGCUGAAAGCAUCUAAGCACGAAACUUGCCCCGAGAUGAGUUCUCCCUGAGACCUGGAGUCUCCUGAAGGAACGUUGAAGACGACGACGUUGAUAGGCCGGGUGUGUAAGCGCAGCGAUGCGUUGAGCUAACCGGUACUAAUGAACCGUGAGGCUUAACCUUACAACGCCGAAGGUGUUU
rnacentral:rRNA from 1 species